GAUGAACGCUAGCGGGAGGCCUAACACAUGCAAGCCGAGCGGUAGAGAUUCUUCUGAAUCUUGAGAGCGGCGUACGGGUGCGGAACACGUGUGCAACCUGCCUUUAUCAGGGGGAUAGCCUUUCGAAAGGAAGAUUAAUACCCCAUAAUAUAUUUGAUGUCAUCAUUAGAUAUUGAAAGCUUUGGCGGAUAGAGAUGGGCACGCGCGAGAUUAGAUAGUUGGUGAGGUAACGGCUCACCAAGUAGAUGAUCUUUAGGGGGCCUGAGAGGGUGAUCCCCCACACUGGUACUGAGACACGGACCAGACUCCUACGGGAGGCAGCAGUGAGGAAGAUUGGACAAUGGGUUAGCGCAUGAUCCAGCCAUCCCGCGUGAAGGACGACGGCCCUAUGGGUUGUAAACUUCUUUUGUACAGGGAUAAACCUACUCUCGUGAGAGUAGGUGAAGGUACUGUACGAAUAAGCACCGGCUAACUACGUG
rnacentral:rRNA from 1 species